rnacentral:rRNA from 1 species
CAAUAGCGUAUAUUAAAGUUGUUGCAGUUAAAAAGCUCGUAGUUGGAUUUGUGGCGUACGGUGUGUUCCGGGCACUUGUUGUCUGAGUAACCUGCUGUUGCCAUCCUUGGGUGGAACCUGUGUGGCAUUAGGUUGUCGUGCAGGGGAUGCCCAUCAUUUACUGUGAAAAAAUUAGAGUGUUCAAAGCAGGCUUAUGCCGUUGAAUAUAUUAGCAUGGAAUAAUGAGAUAGGACUUUUCUGCUAUUUUGUUGGUUUGCGCAAGAAGGUAAUGAUUAAUAGGGACAGUUGGGGGUAUUCGUAUUCCAUUGUCAGAGGUGAAAUUCUUGGAUUUUUGGAAGACGAACUACUGCGAAAGCAUUUACCAAGGAUGUUUUCAUUAA